rnacentral:rRNA from 1 species
UUUGAUCCUGGCUCAGGACGAACGCUGGCGGCGUGCCUAAUACAUGCAAGUCGAACGAACUCUGGUAUUGAUUGGUGCUUGCAUCAUGAUUUACAUUUGAGUGAGUGGCGAACUGGUGAGUAACACGUGGGAAACCUGCCCAGAAGCGGGGGAUAACACCUGGAAACAGAUGCUAAUACCGCAUAACAACUUGGACCGCAUGGUCCGAGCUUGAAAGAUGGCUUCGGCUAUCACUUUUGGAUGGUCCCGCGGCGUAUUAGCUAGAUGGUGGGGUAACGGCUCACCAUGGCAAUGAUACGUAGCCGACCUGAGAGGGUAAUCGGCCACAUUGGGACUGAGACACGGCCCGAACUCCUACGGGAGGCAGCAGUAGGGAAUCUUCCACAAUGGACGAAAGUCUGAUGGAGCAACGCCGCGUGAGUGAAGAAGGGUUUCGGCUCGUAAAACUCUGUUGUUAAAGAAGAACAUAUCUGAGAGUAACUGUUCAGGUAUUGACGGUAUUUAACCAGAAAGCCACGGCUAACUACGUGCCAGCAGCCGCGGUAAUACGUAGGUGGCAAGCGUUGUCCGGAUUUAUUGGGCGUAAAGCGAGCGCAGGCGGUUUUUUAAGUCUGAUGUGAAAGCCUUCGGCUCAACCGAAGAAGUGCAUCGGAAACUGGGAAACUUGAGUGCAGAAGAGGACAGUGGAACUCCAUGUGUAGCGGUGAAAUGCGUAGAUAUAUGGAAGAACACCAGUGGCGAAGGCGGCUGUCUGGUCUGUAACUGACGCUGAGGCUCGAAAGUAUGGGUAGCAAACAGGAUUAGAUACCCUGGUAGUCCAUACCGUAAACGAUGAAUGCUAAGUGUUGGAGGGUUUCCGCCCUUCAGUGCUGCAGCUAACGCAUUAAGCAUUCCGCCUGGGGAGUACGGCCGCAAGGCUGAAACUCAAAGGAAUUGACGGGGGCCCGCACAAGCGGUGGAGCAUGUGGUUUAAUUCGAAGCUACGCGAAGAACCUUACCAGGUCUUGACAUACUAUGCAAAUCUAAGAGAUUAGACGUUCCCUUCGGGGACAUGGAUACAGGUGGUGCAUGGUUGUCGUCAGCUCGUGUCGUGAGAUGUUGGGUUAAGUCCCGCAACGAGCGCAACCCUUAUUAUCAGUUGCCAGCAUUAAGUUGGGCACUCUGGUGAGACUGCCGGUGACAAACCGGAGGAAGGUGGGGAUGACGUCAAAUCAUCAUGCCCCUUAUGACCUGGGCUACACACGUGCUACAAUGGAUGGUACAACGAGUUGCGAACUCGCGAGAGUAAGCUAAUCUCUUAAAGCCAUUCUCAGUUCGGAUUGUAGGCUGCAACUCGCCUACAUGAAGUCGGAAUCGCUAGUAAUCGCGGAUCAGCAUGCCGCGGUGAAUACGUUC